rnacentral:rRNA from 1 species
AACGAACGCUGGCGGCAGGCUUAACACAUGCAAGUCGAACGGGUGUAGCAAUACAUCAGUGGCAGACGGGUGAGUAACACGUGGGAACCUUCCUAGGGGUACGGAACAACUCAGGGAAACUUGAGCUAAUACCGUAUACGCCCGUAAGGAGAAAGAUUCAUCGCCCCUAGACGGGCCCGCGUCGGAUUAGGUAGUUGGUGGGGUAACGGCCUACCAAGCCUACGAUCCGUAGCUGAUCUGAGAGGANGAUCAGCCACACUGGGACUGAGACACGGCCCAGACUCCUACGGGAGGCAGCAGUGGGGAAUCUUGGACAAUGGGCGCAAGCCUGAUCCAGCCAUGCCGCGUGAGUGAAGAAGGCCUUAGGGUUGUAAAGCUCUUUUACCAGGGACGAUAAUGACGGUACCUGGAGAAUAAGCCCCGGCAAACUUCGUGCCAGCAGCCGCCG